GUUCCAGACUCCUACGGGAGGCAGCAGUGAGGAAUAUUGGUCAAUGGCCGCAGGGCUGAACCAGCCAAGUCGCGUGAGGGAUGACGGUCCUAUGGGUUGUAAACCUCUUUUGUCGGGGAGCAAAGAGAGUCACGUGUGGCUCAUUGAGAGUACCCGAAGAAAAAGCAUCGGCUAACUCCGUGCCAGCAGCCGCGGUAAUACGGAGGAUGCGAGCGUUAUCCGGAUUUAUUGGGUUUAAAGGGUGCGUAGGCGGAUUGAUAAGUUAGAGGUGAAAUGUCCGAGCUCAACUCGGGAACUGCCUCUAAUACUGUUGAUCUAGAGAGUAGAUGCGGUAGGCGGAAUGUAUGGUGUAGCGGUGAAAUGCUUAGAGAUCAUACAGAACACCGAUUGCGAAGGCAGCUUACCAAUCUAUAUCUGGCGUUGAGACACGAAAGCGUGGGGAGCAAACAGGAUUAGAUACCCUGGUAC
rnacentral:rRNA from 1 species